GGGAGGGGGAGACUGGGGCUCAGUAGAAUUUUUUUCUUUUAUUUAUUAUUUAUGAUAGUCACACACACAGAGAGAGAGAGGCAGAGACACAGGCAGAGGGAGAAGCAGGCUCCAUGCACCGGGAGCCCGACGUGGGAUUCGAUCCCGAGACCCCAGGAUCGCGCCCUGGGCCAAAGGCAGGCGCCAAACCGCUGCGCUGGGGCUCAGUAGAGCAGAGAAGUGACAAGUCACGGAGGCUCGGCCAGCCGGCUGCGAUGAGGCAGCUGCACCUGCUCGCUGGCAAGCUGUGGGGUCAGAACCUGUCCUCCCCCAGAGCUGGGGGGCGGCCCUGUCCUUCCUGAUGAUUACAUUUCAAAGGGAUGAUUCUCAGGUCACUCUGGGCUGUGGAGGAACCUACUCCCAGUGGUCGGCCCUUUCUAACAGAUGCCCAAGAAAGGGAAGCCAGGAGCCUGGGGUCAGGAUUGGCUGCAACAAAGAGGAAAUUCCCCUGGCGCUUGAACUCUCUCAAUCGGGCGGGCGUCUUAGUGGGGGGCUGCAUCUCCACGGGGCUAGAGCCCUCCUGGGCACGUGCUCUUAGGUUGCUAGAAACCCUGCGAGAGUUCAGUCACUUGUCUUCGUGCAGAGGUUUGCAUGAGUCGUUAUCCGCCGAAAGUCCUGCAGCUCUCAGAAUUACAUUUAGGGAAGGAGAAGAAAUGGUUUCAAUUAUAUUUGUAAUACUCUGUGUUGGGCCCAAGACUGCGAAUCCGAGAAAACCACCAAGGAGCCGACAGGGAUGCAAGUACAUGAGGGUUUAUUAACAAGCUGGAGCUUGGGUCCGAGUAUACCCCACGGGGCGGGGCAGGGACUUGAACCCGGAGGAGGGGUACAGCUGGGUGUUUAUGGGCUGGUCUAGGGGUAAGGUGGGGUUUUUCUAGGGUGGGGGUGUGAGAAUCUCCAGUAAAGAGGUCCCACGAGCUCUUGCUUCCUUAUUCCGAUAAGCGCUGCUUUGUGCUUUUCUCUGUGGCCGGGCGGGGUAAGGCAGACUGGGUACCUGGUGACCGUGGCCUGGUCACAGUGGCCGGAGGUGGCAGCCCAAGCUCCAAUGGCUGGACUUGUGCCGAUGUUAAACUUGAAUGGCCCUAAUUUUCUCGGCCUCCACAUUUUGUUUCUUAAGAGCUGGGAAGUGUAGCGCAGUAGGUGUUCCAUAUUCUUUUAGAGUCUUUGGUAUACAGAUUUUUUUCCCCAUGAUUUUAAGACUAUUUGACUAAAAUAGCAGAAAGCAUAGUCCAGCCAUUUCAUUAGCAACCAAAACCAUGUUUACUCUCUUCCCAACAGGGGAUGAUGCAGAGCCGCAUGUUAUUAUACCCACUUCCAAGCCCAGGACCUUACCAGGAUGUUCAGUCCUUCUGUGGGGAAAGUUUCUUUUAACAUGGAGAUGAGGGUUUUUGGUGACAACCAUCAAAAAAGAGUAAAAGGCAUGACUCUAGGUCGAUUUACCAUCCUAAUUUCAAGACCUCCACUGCAUCACUUCAAUUGCUGGUGGGUUUUCAGAAGCUUUUCUAAAAUGGUUUUAAACACUAUUAUUAUAUUGAGGCGCCUCAGUGACUCAGUUGGUUAAGUGUCUGCCUUUGGCACAGGUACUGAUGCCAGGGUCCUGGGAUGGAGGCCCCAGGCCAGGGUCCCUCCUCAGUAGGGAGCCUGCUUUUCCCUCUUCCUCUGCCACUCCCCCUGCUUGUGUGCUCUGUCAAAUAACUUUAGCCUUUCUUUUGUACUUUCCAUCUGUAAAUCCAGCCAUCUAACUAGGAGCUUACACAGGAUGACCCACAAACUCAACAUUUCUAAACCCAACUCAUCACGUCUACCUGCUUCCCAAUCCUUACCAUUUCUGCAGAGGUGAAUGGCCAUCAUGGAAAAGGAGGCCAACCAUGUUACUGCUCCUGUCACUGUGUAGGCGAGACCUAAAAAAAG